rnacentral:rRNA from 1 species
AACUGCUGCACAAGGAGUGUUCGAUUGGACUCCUUUUCACACAAUGAACAACCAGCUUAGAACUGAUGCGGGCAAGGGGAAUCCGACUGUUUAAUUGAAACAAAGUAUUGCGAUGCCCUGAAAGGAUGUUGACACAAUGUGAUUUCUGCCCAGUGCUCUGAAUGUCAAAGUGAGGAGAUUCAACUAAGCGCGGGUAAACGGCGGGAGUAACUAUGACUCUCUUAAGGUAGCCAAAUGCCUCGUCAUCCAAUUAGUGACGCGCAUGAAUGGAUUAAUGAGAUUCCUACUGUCCCAAUCUACUGUCCAGCGAAACCACAGCCAAGGGAACGGGCUUGGGUGAGUCAGCGGGGAAAGAAGACCCUGUUGAGCUUGACUCUAAUCCGACUUUGUGAAAUGACUUAGGAGGAGUAGGAUAUGUGGGAGCUCAGGUGAUCUUGAAAUACCACUACUUUUAAUGUCACUUUACUUACUCUAUCCAACUGUGCCCUGCCUCACAGCAGGUUUUUGCUUUUAAGGUUGCUCUUUUGGCUGUUGAUUUGCGUAGAAGACGUCGUCCGGUGGGGAGUUUGGCUGGGGCGGCACAU